rnacentral:rRNA from 1 species
CGGAGCGAAGCUUUUCAGUAGUUUACUACAGAAAAUGACUGAGCGGCGAACGGGUGAGUAACGCGUGAGCAAUCUACCUUAGUUACAGGGAUAGCCCGAGGAAACUCGGAUUAAUACCUGAUAUUCUUUAUUUCUCGCAUGAGAAUAAAAGGAAAGGUCAGCCGAACUAAGAUGAGCUCGCGUUCUAUCAGCUAGUUGGUGAGGUAAAAGCUCACCAAGGCUACGACGGAUAGCUGGUCUGAGAGGACGAUCAGCCACACUGGGACUGAGACACGGCCCAGACUCCUACGGGAGGCUGCAGCAGGGAAUAUUGCGCAAUGAGCGAAAGCUUGACGCAGCGACACCGCGUGUGGGAUGACGGAUCUAGGUUUGUAAACCACUUUCAGGAGGGAAGAAAAUGACGGUACCUCCACAAGAAGCCCCGGCCAACUACGUGCCAGCAGCCGCGGUAAUACGUAGGGGGCGAGCGUUGUCCGGAUUUAUUGGGCGUAAAGAGCUCGUAGGCGGUUCAACAAGUCGGUCGUGAAAGUUCAGGGCUCAACCCUGAAAUGUCGAUCGAUACUGUUGUGACUAGGAUACGGUAGAGGUGAGUGGAAUUCCGAGUGUAGCGGUGAAAUGCGUAGAUAUUCGGAGGAACACCAAUUGCGAAGGCAGCUCACUGGGCCGCUA